GAUCCAUCCAGCAUGCCUCAUCGCACUAGCUGUCGUGUCUCUCUGGGCUCCUCUUGGCUGGGGCGGUUUCUCACAUAGCAACAUGACAUCACUGUUGGUGCUGCGUCAGGUUUCUCUACUGGAAAAGAUAAGGUCUUGCCAUGUUGCCCAGACUGAUACAACUCCCGGCCUCAAGCCAUCCUCCUGCCUUGGCCUCCCAAAGUGUUGGGAUUACAGGCGUGAGCCACCACACCUGGCCUUGGGGUAUCAUUUCUUUUAAGCCUUCUCAACUGACAGAACAAAGAAAUAUAUCUGUAUAUACCAAUGUGUAUAUAUAUACACACAUAUCUAUAUUUCCAUUUGUAACCAUCUGUAUAUAUAUUAAGCUAAACAUGAGUUCCUGUUUAUAUUUACCACUUGAAUCCAGGGAUCAUUUGGCUUGCUUCCUGCUUGCUUAUCUCUAAAUUCCCACUCCAAUAACGGGAAACCUGGUUCCCAUCAUCCACAUCCACCAUCCAUUUACUUAAUUGUUCAAGUCCAGUAUACAUGUGUAGGAUUAUCAAAAUUGUUAACCCAUACCCCUGUGGGAAACUUUAUCAAGUAGAGUACAUUCUUCUGAACACUUUCUUUUGCCUUUAGUGUUCCAGCAG
ensembl:lncRNA novel transcript